rnacentral:rRNA from 1 species
UACGAAGGGGGCUAGCGUUGCUCGGAAUCACUGGGCGUAAAGGGUGCGUAGGCGGGUCUUUAAGUCAGGGGUGAAAUCCUGGAGCUCAACCCGGGAACUGCGUCCGAUACUGGAAGGCUUGAAUCCGGGAGAGGGAUGUGGAAUUCCAGGUGUAGCGGUGAAAUGCGUAGAUAUCUGGAGGAACACCGGUGGCGAAGGCGACAUCCUGGACCGGUAUUGACGCUGAGGCGCGAAAGCUAGGGGAGCAAACGGG